AUUGAACGCUGGCGGCAGGCCUAACACAUGCAAGUCGAGCGAGUGGCGGACGGGUGAGUAAUGCCUGGGAAUUGCCCAGUCGAGGGGGAUAACAGUUGGAAACGACUGCUAAUACCGCAUAGGAUUGGAUUGCACAGGUUGGAAUAGCUCGUUGGUGAGGUAAUGGCUCACCAAGGCGACGAUCCCUAGCUGGUUUGAGAGGAUGAUCAGCCCAACUGGAACCGAGACAAGGUCCAGACUCCUACGGGAGGCAGCAGGGGGGAAGAUUGCACAAUGGGGGAAAACCUGAUGCAGCCAUGCCGCGUGUGUGAAGAAGUCCUUCGGGUUGUAAAGCACUUUCAGCGAGGAGGCGUUACUCGCAGAAGAAGCACCGGCUAACUCCGUGCCAGCCGCCGCGGUAAUUC
rnacentral:rRNA from 1 species